rnacentral:rRNA from 1 species
CCUACGGGAGGCAGCAGUGGGGAAUAUUGGACAAUGGGGGGAACCCUGAUCCAGCGACGCCGCGUGAGUGAAGAAGUAUUUCGGUAUGUAAAGCUCUAUCAGCAGGGAAGAAAGAAAUGACGGUACCUGACUAAGAAGCACCGGCUAACUACGAGCCAGCAGCCGCGGGAAUACGUAGGGGGCAAGCGUUAUACGGAUUUACUGGGUGGAAAGGGAGCGUAGACGGCGAUGCAAGUCUGAAGUGAAAGGCGGGGGCCCAACCCCUGGACUGCUUUGGAAACUGUAUGGCUGGUGUGCAGGAGAGGUCAGUGGAAUUCCUAGUGUAGCGGUGACAUGCGUAGAUAUUAGGAGGAACACCAGUGGCGAAGGCGGCUUACUGGACUGUACCUGACGUUGAGGCUCGAAAGCGUGGGGAGCAAACAGGAUUAGAUACCCCAGUAGUC